AUUGAACGCUGGCGGCAGGCCUAACACAUGCAAGUCGAACGAGUGGCGGACGGGUGAGUAAUGCCUGGGAAACUGCCCGAUGGAGGGGGAUAACUACUGGAAACGGUAGCUAAUACCGCAUACCCUCGGAUGUGCCCAGAUGGGAUAAGCGUGUAGGUGAGGGAACGGCUCACCUAGGCGACGAUCCCUAGCUGGUCUGCGAGGAUGACCAGCCACACUGGAACUGGGACACGGUCCAGACUCCUACGGGAGGAAGCAGUGGGAAAUAUUGCACAAUGGGGGAAAGCCUGAUGCAGACAUGCCGCGUGUAUGUAGAGGGCCUUCGGGUUGUAAAGUUCUUUCAGCGGGGAGGCGUUACCCGCAGAAGAAGCACCGGCUAACUCCGUGCCAGCAGCCGCGGUAAUAC
rnacentral:rRNA from 1 species